rnacentral:lncRNA from 1 species
AUUUAUUAUACGCUUUAUGUUGGAGGAGAACCCAGAUGGGACCUUGAUGCUGCUUAGGCAUUCAAACAUGAUUUCCUUCUCCUCAUUGCUAAGAGUGUAGCUAGCAGGUCUUAAAUACUGGCGUCCAUCAUUUGUCUGCUCUGGAUGCAGGUUGUCUCGUUCUUUCAUGCACUUUAAGUCCUCUCGAGCCUCAAGGGUAUCCUUAGGCUUUCCAAACACACCCAUAAACCCUAGGAGAUUGACACAAAGAUUCUUCGUCAGGUGCAU